rnacentral:rRNA from 1 species
GACGAACGCUGGCGGCGUGCCUAAUACAUGCAAGUUGAGCGCUGAAGGUUGGUACUUGUACCAACUGGAUGAGCAGCGAACGGGUGAGUAACGCGUGGGGAAUCUGCCUUUGAGCGGGGGACAACAUUUGGAAACGAAUGCUAAUACCGCAUAAAAACUUUAAACACAAGUUUUAAGUUUGAAAGAUGCAAUUGCAUCACUCAAAGAUGAUCCCGCGUUGUAUUAGCUAGUUGGUGAGGUAAAGGCUCACCAAGGCGAUGAUACAUAGCCGACCUGAGAGGGUGAUCGGCCACAUUGGGACUGAGACACGGCCCAAACUCCUACGGGAGGCAGCAGUAGGGAAUCUUCGGCAAUAGACGAAAGUCUGACCGAGCAACGCCGCGUGAGUGAAGAGGGUUUUCGGAUCGUAAAACUCUGUUGAUAGAGAAGAACGUUGGUGAGAGUGGAAAGCUCAUCAAGUGACGGUAACUACCCAGAAAGGGACGGCUAACUACGUG